GAUGAACGCUGGCGGCGUGCCUAAUACAUGCAAGUCGAGCGAACACACGAGAAGCUCUCUCCUCUGCCGUUAGCGGCGGACGGGCGAGUAACACGUAGAUAACCUACUACUUAGACUUGGAUAAUUACGGGGAAAAAGUGCUACUAACAGCUCAUACAUCGAACCGCAUGAAUCAGUAGUGAAAGACGCUUUUGCUGUCACUAAUAGCUGAAUCCGGGCCGGAUUAGCUAGUUGGUAAGGUAACGGCCUACCAAGGCUACGAUGCGUAGCUGACCUGAGAGGAUGAUCAGCCACACUGGAACUGAGACACGGUCCAGACUCCUACGGGAGGCAGCAGUGGGGAAUAUUCGACAAUGGGCGAAAGCCUGACGCAGCAACGCCGCGUGAGUGAUGAAGGUCUUCGGAUCGUAAAGCUCUUUUAUUAGGGAAGAAAAAAUGUGGGAUUAACUAUGCAUGUUUUGACGGUACCUAAAGAGAAAGCCACGGCUAACUUCGUG
rnacentral:rRNA from 1 species